GAUGAACGCUGGCGGCGUGCCUAAUACAUGCAAGUCGAGCGAACGGACGAGAAGCUUGCUUUUCUGAUGUUAGCGGCGGACGGGUGAGUAACACGUGGAUAACCUACCUAUAAGACUGGGAUAACUUCGGGAAACCGGAGCUAAUACCGGAUAAUAUUUUGAACCGCAUGGUUCAAAAGUGAAAGAUGGUCUUGCUGUCACUUAUAGAUGGAUCCGCGCUGCAUUAGCUAGUUGGUAAGGUAACGGCUUACCAAGGCAACGAUGCAUAGCCGACCUGAGAGGGUGAUCGGCCACACUGGAACUGAGACACGGUCCAGACUCCUACGGGAGGCAGCAGUAGGGAAUCUUCCGCAAUGGGCGAAAGCCUGACGGAGCAACGCCGCGUGAGUGAUGAAGGUCUUCGGAUCGUAAAACUCUGUUAUUAGGGAAGAACAUACGUGUAAGUAACUGUGCACAUCUUGACGGUACCUAAUCAGAAAGCCACGGCUAACUACGUG
rnacentral:rRNA from 1 species